rnacentral:rRNA from 1 species
AUACGGAGGGUGCAAGCAUUAUUCGGAAUCACUGGGCGUAAAGGACGCGUAGGCGGGUUGGCAAGUCAGAUGUGAAAUCCUACAGCUUAACUGUAGAACUGCAUUUGAAACUGCUAACCUAGAGUAUGGGAGGGGGAGAUGGAAUUAGUGGUGUAGGGGUAAAAUCCGUAGAUAUCACUAGGAAUACCGAAAGCGAAGGCGAUCUCCUGGAACAUAACUGACGCUAAGGCGUGAAAGCGUGGGGAGCAAACAGGAUUAGAAACCCUAGUAGUCC